UAUGGGCGGUUAAGGCCCUUCGGGGUACACGAGCGGCGAACGGGUGAGUAACACGUGGGUGAUCUGCCUCGCACUUCGGGAUAAGCCUGGGAAACUGGGUCUAAUACCGGAUAUGACCUUUCAGUGCAUGCUGUUGGGUGGAAAGAUUUAUCGGUGCGAGAUGGGCCCGCGGCCUAUCAGCUUGUUGGCGGGGUAACGGCCCACCAAGGCGACGACGGGUAGCCGACCUGAGAGGGUGACCGGCCACACUGGGACUGAGACACGGCCCAGACUCCUACGGGAGGCAGCAGUGGGGAAUAUUGCACAAUGGGCGAAAGCCUGAUGCAGCGACGCCGCGUGAGGGAUGACGGCCUUCGGGUUGUAAACCUCUUUCGACAGGGACGAAGCGCAAGUGACGGUACCUGUAGAAGAAGCACCGGCCAACUACGUGCCAGCAGCCGCGGUAAUACGUAGGGUGCGAGCGUUGUCCGGAAUUACUGGGCGUAAAGAGCUUGUAGGCGGUUUGUCGCGUCGUCCGUGAAAACUUGGGGCUCAACCCCAAGCUUGCGGGCGAUACGGGCAGACUUGAGUACUUCAGGGGAGACUGGAAUUCGGUCUAGCGGUUUUUUCCCAAAAAUUUUUUUAUAUGCUCUCCA
rnacentral:rRNA from 1 species